AUACUUAACUGGAAGAGGUGAAUCAGGAAAGUGUAAGGCUUAUCCAUUGUUCUCUGGAUGGGCUGACCCUGUGAUUUCCCCAAAUAAAGGUAACUUGACUGUACAAUUUGUGGUAGUGGGGGACUGGAUUCAUGCUUUUCUCUG
rnacentral:snRNA from 1 species